GAUGAACGCUAGCGAUAGGCCUAACACAUGCAAGUCGAGGGGCAUCACAUGAAGUAGCAAUACGGAUGGUGGCGACCGGCGCACGGGUGAGUAACACGUAUGCAACCUGCCUUCAACAAGGGGAUAACCCGUUGAAAGACGGACUAAUACCCUAUAACACAGGGGUCCCGCAUGGGAAUAUUUGUUAAAGGACAACCGGUUGAAGAUGGGCAUGCGUUCCAUUAGCUAGUUGGCGGGGUAACGGCCCACCAAGGCAACGAUGGAUAGGGGAACUGAGAGGUUUAUCCCCCACACUGGUACUGAGACACGGACCAGACUCCUACGGGAGGCAGCAGUGAGGAAUAUUGGUCAAUGGACGCAAGUCUGAACCAGCCACGUCGCGUGAAGGAAGACGGCCCUACGGGUUGUAAACUUCUUUUAUACGGGAAUAAAGUGCCCCACGCGUGGGGUUUUGCAUGUACCGUAUGAAUAAGGAUCGGCUAACUCCGUGCAGCAGCCGCGGUAAAUCACACUACAC
rnacentral:rRNA from 1 species